rnacentral:sRNA from 1 species
UUUACUCACAGAAUUCGACGCGUUUAGGCGGAGUUAACGUUUUUCUGCCGGAAACAAUUCGUAGUGUUUGAGUGAAGAAGCAACAAAAUAUUGAUACAAAUAAAGAAAAAAAAAAAAGAAUUGAAAAUAAAUAUAAAAAAAUCAGCUUUAUUUUAUCAGUUGUUCAUAGUUUUGAUGUGACCACAAAAUGAAAUUGUGCUAAACGCGAAACAAAUCGAAAGAGUUUAACAAGAAAUUGUUUUGUGGUUAAAACAGAAGUCGUCCUUUCUGUCGCUGGAAAUCUAAAUCUAAAUAUUUUAUUUUUUGCGAGAGGUGAUUUAAUGUUUUGCCACGUUUCGGUCGCUCCCAAAGAAAUUGAUACCCCCUCCCUCCAUCAACAGAAAACCGAAAUGUGAGAAAAAAGUUAUUCCACAAUUUUACGCCGUGAUUAAAUGUCAAAUAUUUGUUUGUGUGUUUCAUUUGUCGGAAAUGUGAAAUUUGGAAAUAGCCACCUACCGAGGCGAAAAGAAAGCAUUUUGCAAGGUGAAUUAAAUAAAAGUAAUAACAAAAAAUAAAGAAAAAUUGUUGAAUGAAAUAAUUCCACAUGUCGGUGGCGUGAUCAAAUGUGAAAUUUCCAAGUUCUAUUGCCCAGUCAAUCAGCCACUCAGUCAGUCAAUCAGCCAGCCAGUCUCAGCAAAAUCCAAAAAAAAAAAUCUAUAAUCAAGCAAGCAAAGCAACAUAUAUCGUUUCCUAUGUGAAAAAAGUAUAAAAAAUACAAAAAAAAAAAUACCUACCAAAAAGUGAAUGUUUGUGUGAAUGUAAGCACAUAAUAAUAAUAAAAAAUAAUCAAAAAAAAAAUCAAUAACGACGUCAAUAGCAACAGCUACAAAAGUUUCGAAGGAAAACAAAAAAAAUUGCCGAAAAAAAGUUUUGUAAGAAACGUGUUUAGCAUUUUAACAACAUCAAUUGUGUGUAUAUAUUGCCAAAAAAAUACAACAAUAACAACA